rnacentral:piRNA from 1 species
UUGGCCUAGCAGAAGUGAUUGACAGGUCA